rnacentral:rRNA from 1 species
AGAGUUUGAUCAUGGCUCAGGACGAACGCUGGCGGCGUGCUUAACACAUGCAAGUCGAGCGAUGAAGCUUCUUCGGAAGUGGAUUAGCGGCGGACGGGUGAGUAACACGUGGGUAACCUGCCUCAUAGAGGGGAAUAGCCUUCCGAAAGGAAGAUUAAUACCGCAUAACAUUGCAGUACCGCAUGGUACAGUAAUUAAAGGAGUAAUCCGCUAUGAGAUGGACCCGCGUCGCAUUAGCUAGUUGGUGAGGUAACGGCUCACCAAGGCGACGAUGCGUAGCCGACCUGAGAGGGUGAUCGGCCACAUUGGGACUGAGACACGGCCCAGACUCCUACGGGAGGCAGCAGUGGGGAAUAUUGCACAAUGGGGGAAACCCUGAUGCAGCAACGCCGCGUGAGUGAUGACGGUCUUCGGAUUGUAAAACUCUGUCUUUGGGGACGAUAAUGACGGUACCCAAGGAGGAAGCCACGGCUAACUACGUGCCAGCAGCCGCGGUAAUACGUAGGUGGCAAGCGUUGUCCGGAUUUACUGGGCGUAAAGGGAGCGUAGGUGGAUAUUUAAGUGGGAUGUGAAAUACUCGGGCUUAACCUGAGUGCUGCAUUCCAAACUGGAUAUCUAGAGUGCAGGAGAGGAAAGUAGAAUUCCUAGUGUAGCGGUGAAAUGCGUAGAGAUUAGGAAGAAUACCAGUGGCGAAGGCGACUUUCUGGACUGUAACUGACACUGAGGCUCGAAAGCGUGGGGAGCAAACAGGAUUAGAUACCCUAGUAGUCC